rnacentral:tRNA from 1 species
GUGGCUAUGGUGUAAUAGCAGCACUAGGAUCUGUGGAGUCCUCGGAGGCGGUGCAAGUCCGCUUAGCCACCC